CUCAUUCACUCACAGUCACUGCUCGACAAUCCUGCUGCCAACUUGAACAAGGUGAGACUUGGCUUUAAUUCCCACCUUUAUUCAUGUUUUCACCUGCAUUUAUUGAAGAACAACGACUGUAAAUCAUUUCAGCCAUUCCAGUUAACACCUCAACACUUGAAGAAGUGAGAGAAAGAUCGUUCAUUCAUUACUCUGCCAAACUGCCAGAUUAUCUCAGUUCAUUCAACAACAUUCACUCUCAUUUUCACCAAGGGAUUAUCGAAACGCAACGGAGCCCAAACCCAUCUCCGCCAAAUCUUCAAGAAGGUAACCUUGGUUUAAUUCCCCACCUCCUGCCAUGUGUUUUCC
rnacentral:lncRNA from 1 species